CCAGCCCGCUCAGAAACUCAAAGGAAUUGACGGGGCCCGCACAAGCGGUGGAGUAUGUGGUUUAAUUCGAUGCAACGCGAAGAACCUUACCUGGUCUUGACAUCCCGGAGACCCUUAGGAAACUAGGGGGUGCUUCCAUCUGGAAGAAUCUGGAGACAGGUGCUGCAUGGCUGUCGUCAGCUCGUGUCGUGAGAUGUUGGGUUAAGUCCCGCAACGAGCGCAACCCUUGCCUUUAGUUGCCAGCAGUUCGGCUGGGCACUCUAAAGGGACUGCCGGUGUUAAACCGGAGGAAGGUGGGGAUGACGUCAAGUCCUCAUGGCCUUUAUGACCAGGGCUACACACGUACUACAAUGGCCGAUACAAAGGGCAGCGACACUGCGAGGUGAAGCCAAUCCCGUAAAAUCGGUCUCAGUCCGGAUUGGAGUCUGCAACUCGACUCCAUGAAGUUGGAAUCGCUAGUAAUCGUGGAUCAGCAUGCCACGGUGAAUACGUUCCCGGGCCUU
rnacentral:rRNA from 1 species